rnacentral:rRNA from 1 species
AUGGGAACGCGAAGAACCUUACCUAGACUUGACAUCUCCUGAAUAGUGUAGAGAUACAUGAAGCCCUUCGGGGCAGGAAGACAGGUGGUGCAUGGUUGUCGUCAGCUCGUGUCGUGAGAUGUUGGGUUAAGUCCCGCAACGAGCGCAACCCUUAUUACUAGUUGCUACCAUUAAGUUGAGCACUCUAGUGAGACUGCCCGGGUUAACCGGGAGGAAGGCGGGGAUGACGUCAAAUCAUCAUGCCCCUUAUGUCUAGGGCAACACACGUGCUACAAUGGUGAGUACAGAUAGAUGCGAUACCGCAAGGUGGAGCCAAACUCUAAAACUCAUCCCAGUUCGGAUUGUAGGCUGCAACUCGUCUACAUGAAGUUGGAGUUGCUAGUAAUCGCGAAUCAGAAUGUCGCGGUGAAUACGUUCCCGGGUCUGUACACACCG